ACACAUNCAAGUCGAACGGUAACAGGUCUUCGGACGCUGACGAGUGGCGAACGGGUGAGUAAUACAUCGGAACGUGCCCAGUCGUGGGGGAUAACUACUCGAAAGAGUAGCUAAUACCGCAUACGAUCUGAGGAUGAAAGCGGGGGACCUUCGGGCCUCGCGCGAUUGGAGCGG
rnacentral:rRNA from 1 species